UUUCAGCGAUCCCAGCCACAGGGGCCGCUGCGGCGGCCGCGACCGGCCGUAGGUCGCCAGCAGCGCCUCCGCCUC
rnacentral:antisense_RNA from 1 species